rnacentral:lncRNA from 1 species
UUUAGAAAAGGAGCAGCAGUCAUCGACUUCCUCAGAAAAAGGUGGGAUCGACAUUUUUAGGGAAGGUCGACAUUUCCAGGGAGAAAUGAGAUCGACUUGCCAAAAAUUCGACACCUUUAGAAGAGGAUCAGCAGUCAUCGACUUCCUCAGAAAGAAGGUGGGAUCGACAUUUUUAGGAAGGUCGACAUUUCCAGGGAGAAAUGAGAUCGACUUGCCAAAAAUCCGACACCUUUAGAAAAGGAAAAAAGAAUAUGGUACUGACCAAGAAAAAUU